rnacentral:rRNA from 1 species
GACGAACGCUGGCGGCGUGCUUAACACAUGCAAGUCGAACGGAAAGGCCCUGCUUUUGUGGGGUGCUCGAGUGGCGAACGGGUGAGUAACACGUGAGUAACCUGCCCUUGACUUUGGGAUAACUUCAGGAAACUGGGGCUAAUACCGGAUAGGAGCUCCUGCUGCAUGGUGGGGGUUGGAAAGUUUCGGCGGUUGGGGAUGGACUCGCGGCUUAUCAGCUUGUUGGUGGGGUAGUGGCUUACCAAGGCUUUGACGGGUAGCCGGCCUGAGAGGGUGACCGGCAACUUGGGACUGAGAUACGGCCCAGACUCCUACGGGAGGCAGCAGUGGGGAAUAUUGCACAAUGGGCGGAAGCCUGAUGCAGCAACGCCGCGUGCGGGAUGACGGCCUUCGGGUUGUAAACCGCUUUCGCCUGUGACGAAGCGUGAGUGACGGUAAUGGGUAAAGAAGCACCGGCUAACUACGUG